rnacentral:lncRNA from 1 species
GGGUUGCCAUUCCCUUCUCCAGGGGAUCUUCCCAACCCAGGGAUAGAACUCAGAUCUUCUGCAUUACAAAAAGCAAGUUUACAGAAUUUUAAAGAACCAACUUGCCAGAGUCAUACGUACACAUACAAUCAGUGAGGAACUGGGGCUCUAACGUGGACCUGAGCACUUUAUUACUCCCUUUCAUGUAUUGAGCAAUUCAACUGACCUAACCCUCUAUCCAUCCUCCCAUGUAAAUCCACCAGAACAGAUUUUUUUUUUAAUAAAAAUUUAAUUAUAUAAGUAACAGCAUGCCUCUAAUUGAAAGUCUGGAAAAUAUAAUGGAUGUACCAAAAGUCAUAUCUUUUUUUAUUGCUUUUAUAAUUAGUAUUUUAAUGAACACCUUGUACAUAAAUCUCUGCACAGUUUUAUUCCACAUUUAUAAAGCAUUAUAAAUGGAAUUCUGGGUCAAAUAGUGGCAAUACAGUCUGCCAGAACAUCUGACUUUAAUACUGCUGAACUGACGAAGAGAUUAUGGUUCCUUAAGAAAAACAGCCAUGCCUAAUUUUCCCGUUAUCCGCAAUGCCUAGGCACAUGAGCAAGUGUUCUCAUGACUGCUGAACAGAGGUUUCUCUCCCCUUAGUACACAGUCUCUGAAGAGAGGAAUAAACAGAGCAGGCUUUCAAAUUAGAAGACAAUUGUGCCAAAUAUCAAAUUCAUUAGUGGGCUGCAUAAAACUCUUUUUAGGGAGAAAAGAACAUGAACAUUAACACUGCCAUUCAAUAUAUUUCCAUGUGUUUAAAAGACUUUGGAUAUCUUAUAUUUUUUAAAUACAGUAUGUUAGUAGGUAUAUAGCAUAUAUUGAAGACACUGUUUCUCCCAGUUUACCUACAUGUCUUAAUCUGCUAUUGUCCAUGGAAAUAAUUUCAGAACAUGUAGAAAAUUCAGAGUUGUAUAUUUUAACAAUGACUAGAUUUCUCUUACUUAGAUUUUCUGUCAAAAAUCAUCAUCGAUUUUCAUCAAGUUCUAAUGAUAUUAUAGCAGGCAAUGUCCCCAGAAAAAUGAAAAAGACUGACUACAAAACAAUGUGCCAGCAGGUACUGAACUAGCACUUUAGAUGCAUUAAUUUAAACUUUACAACAUUACUUUAUAUUAUUAUUACUAUUACCUCUAUUUCAUAGGCAAACUAAAACAGAGAAAGAUUGAAGUUGCUUGUUUGGGGACUUCUGGUCCAGCGGUUAAGACUCUAUAUGUUUCCACUGCAGGGGCACACUUACUUCCACUUAUUUCCUGGCUGGGAUAUAAGAUCCCAUAUGCCAUGCAAGUGGGGCCGAAAAAAAAGAAACUUGCUUGUUUUUUGAAUAUAGGUAUUCUGGCCAUUACUUUGCCAACAAA